GCGAACACUUUACAAUGCUGGCAACAGCGAUAAGGGAACCUCGAGUGCCAGGUUACAAAUCUGGCUGUCGCGAUGCCUAAAAAGCAUUUCAUAGCAAGGGCAGGGCAAGACCGGUGCCAGCCGCCGCGGUAACACCGGCGGCUCGAGUGGUAACCGUUAUUAUUGGGUCUAAAGGUUCGGUAGCCGGCCGGAUAAGUCUCUUGAGAAAUCUGGCAGCUUAACUGUUAGGCUUUCAGGAGAUACUGUCUGGCUCGAGGCCGGGAGAGGUGAGAGGUACUUCAGGGGUAGGGGUGAAAUCUUGUAAUCCUUGAAGGACCACCAGUGGCGAAGGCGUCUCACCAGAACGGACCUGACGGUAAGGGACGAAAGCUAGGGGCACGAACC
rnacentral:rRNA from 1 species